rnacentral:rRNA from 1 species
ACGGGGGGGGCAAGCGUUAUCCGGAAUUAUUGGGCUUAAAGGGUGCGUAGGUGGGUUUUUAAGCGUGAGGUGAAAGGCAAUAGCUUAACUAUUGUAAGCCUUGCGAACUGGAAGACUUGAGUGCAGGAGAGGAAAGCGGAAUUCCUAGUGUAGCGGUGAAAUGCGUAGAUAUUACAAGGAACACCAAUGGCGAAGGCAACUUGCUGGACUGUAACUGACACUGAGGCACGAAAGCGUGGGUAGCAAACAG